GCCCUUAGAGUUUGAUCCUGGCUCAGGAUGAACGCUGGCGGCGUGCCUAACACAUGCAAGUCGAACGGAGUUUACUAACUAAAACCUUCGGGUUGAAGAUAGUAACACUUAGUGGCGGACGGGUGAGUAACGCGUAAGCAACCUGCCCUGUACAGAGGGAUAACAUUGGGAAACCGAUGCUAAUACCUCAUAAAGCUAUUUUAAGGCAUCUUAAGAUAGUUAAAGAUUUAUCGGUACAGGAUGGGCUUGCGUCUGAUUAGCUAGUUGGUGGGGUAAGAGCUCACCAAGGCGAUGAUCAGUAGCCGACCUGAGAGGGUGAUCGGCCACACUGGAACUGAGACACGGUCCAGACUCCUACGGGAGGCAGCAGUGGGGAAUAUUGCACAAUGGGGGAAACCCUGAUGCAGCAACGCCGCGUGAGCGAAGAAGGCCUUCGGGUCGUAAAGCUCUGUCCUAAGGGAAGAUAUAGACGGUACCUUAGGAGGAAGCCCCGGCUAACUACGUGCCAGCAGCCGCGGUAACACGUA
rnacentral:rRNA from 1 species